rnacentral:rRNA from 1 species
UACGUAGGGUGCGAGCGUUAAUCGGAAUUACUGGGCGUAAAGCGUGCGCAGGCUGUUUGGUAAGUCAGAUGUGAAAUCCCCGAGCUCAACUUGGGAACUGCGUUUGAAACUACCAGACUAGAAUAUGUCAGAGGGGGGUAGAAUUCCACGUGUAGCAGUGAAAUGCGUAGAAUAUGAGAUGAC